rnacentral:rRNA from 1 species
GUAAGGAAUAUUGGUCAAUGGAGGCAACUCUGAACCAGCCAUGCCGCGUGCAGGAAGACGGCCCUCCGGGUUGUAAACUGCUUUUGUACGGGAAUAAACCUCUCUACGUGUAGGGAGCUGAAUGUACCGUAAGAAUAAGGAUCGGCUAACUCCGUGCCAGCAGCCGCGGUAAUACGGAGGAUCCAAGCGUUAUCCGGAUUUAUUGGGUUUAAAGGGUGCGUAGGCGGCCUGUUAAGUCAGGGGUGAAAGACGGUGGCUCAACCAUCGCAGUGCCCUUGAUACUGAUGGGCUUGAAUAGACUAGAGGUAGGCGGAAUGUGACAAGUAGCGGUGAAAUGCAUAGAUAUGUCACAGAACACCGAUUGCGAAGGCAGCUUACUAUGGUCUGAUUGACGCUGAGGCACGAAAGCGUGGGGAUCGAACAGGAUUAGAUACCCCAGUAGUCC